rnacentral:tRNA from 1 species
GAGGGUAUAGCUCAGUGGUAGAGCAUGUGCUUAGCAUGCACGAAGUCCUGGGUUCAAUCCCCAGCACUGCUG